rnacentral:rRNA from 1 species
GUGAGGAAUAUUGCGCAAUGGAGGCAACUCUGACGCAGCCAUGCCGCGUGCAGGAAGAAGGCGCUACGCGUUGUAAACUGCUUUUAACCGGGAAGAAACCCCAGGACGUGUCCUGGGUUGACGGUACCGGAGGAAUAAGCACCGGCUAACUUCGUGCCAGCAGCCGCGGUAAUACGAAGGGUGCAAGCGUUAUCCGGAUUCAUUGGGUUUAAAGGGUGCGUAGGCGGAGCGUUAAGUCAGUGGUGAAAUCCUGCAGCUUAACUGUAGACUUGCCAUUGAUACUGGCGCUCUUGAGUGCGCUUGAAGUGGGCGGAAUGUGCCGUGUAGCGGUGAAAUGCUUAGAUAUGACACAGAACACCAAUUGCGAAGGCAGCUCACUAAGGCGAUACUGACGCUGAGGCACGAAAGCGUGGGGAUCGAACAGGAUUAGAUACCCCUGUAGUCC